UGUUGCCCAAAAGCCAAAUGGAGCUUCUUUUAAACCUCGCCAUGGUUAUAGAGGACAUGAAAGAGGAAGAGGAAAUGCAAGAGGAGCUGGGAGUUCACGCCCAGUCAAAAAAUUUGCUGAAGAUUUUGAUUUUGAAGCAAUGAAUGAGAAAUUUAAGAAAGAUGAAGUAUGGGGUCAUCUAGGUAACCGUAGCAAAUCUCAUUCUAAGGAUAAUGAAGGGGAUGCUAGUGAUGAAGAUGGUUAUCAAGAUGAAGAUGGUGCUGAAAUAUCCAAGAUUCAAGUCUAGGUUAUG